rnacentral:rRNA from 1 species
UACGGGGGGCAGCAGUCGAGAAUUUUUCACAAUGGGGGAAACCCUGAUCGAGCGACGCCGCGUGGAGGAUGAAGGUCUUCGGAUUGUAAACUCCUGUCAUUUGGGAACAAUGCGUGACGGUUAACUGUCGUCACGUUGAUAGUACCAGAAGAGGAAGAGACGGCUAACUCUGUGCCAGCAGCCGCGGUAAUACAGAGGUCUCAAGCGUUGUUCGGAUUCAUUGGGCGUAAAGGGUGCGUAGGCGGCGCGGUAAGUCGGGUGUGAAAUCUCGGGGCUUAACUCCGAAACUGCAUUCGAUACUGCCGUGCUUGAGGACUGGAGAGGAGACUGGAAUUUACGGUGUAGCAGUGAAAUGCGUAGAUAUCGUAAGGAAGACCAGUGGCGAAGGCGGGUCUCUGGACAGUUCCUGACACUGAGACACGAAGGCCAGGGGAGCAGACGGGAUUAGAUACCCUAGUAGUCAUCUUCUAGA